GACGAACGCUGGCGGCGUGCCUAAUACAUGCAAGUUGAGCGCUGAAGGUUGGUACUUGUACCGACUGGAUGAGCAGCGAACGGGUGAGUAACGCGUGGGGAAUCUGCCUUUGAGCGGGGGACAACAUUUGGAAACGAAUGCUAAUACCGCAUAAAAACUUUAAACACAAGUUUUAAGUUUGAAAGAUGCAAUUGCAUCACUCAAAGAUGAUCCCGCGUUGUAUUAGCUAGUUGGUGAGGUAAAGGCUCACCAAGGCGAUGAUACAUAGCCGACCUGAGAGGGUGAUCGGCCACAUUGGGACUGAGACACGGCCCAAACUCCUACGGGAGGCAGCAGUAGGGAAUCUUCGGCAAUGGACGAAAGUCUGACCGAGCAACGCCGCGUGAGUGAAGAAGGUGUUCGGAUCGUAAAACUCUGUUGGUAGAGAAGAACGUUGGUGAGAGUGGAAAGCUCAUCAAGUGACGGUAACUACCCAGAAAGGGACGGCUAACUACGUG
rnacentral:rRNA from 1 species